rnacentral:lncRNA from 1 species
ACAUUCCUAUAUAUUCUACUCUAUAAUAGAGUAACUCUAUUAUAGAGUAACACCAUUGGAGCAAAAGUUACACUAUAAUAGAGUCACUCUAUUUUUGUGUAAAUUAUAGAGGAAAAAAUAGAGUUUCAAACAUUAAGUUAUAGAGUUUGGUUCUGUCACUAGCAUACACACAUGGGGAUGGUCUAGUGCCGUCUAGCUAUCUCUCUUUAUGGCAAGAAUUUGUUGCAAGAAAAUGACAUGUUUUUUUUUUCUCUUUCUUGGUUGUAUCAGGUGGCAGUGAUAAUGAUGUACUUUAUGUUUUUAACGCAUUUACUGCUAUUGUAGACGGUUUAGUGACUAGGGUCGUCUGAUUUUGUUACUACUUAAAACCUAUAUUUUCAUGAGUUGUUUCUAUUUUGCGGCUCCCAAAUUGGGAAGAAGGCUUGGGGACUAUUUAUUUGAGUAAUACGUGUAAUCUUCGUUAUUAGAUUUACGUGUUUUUAAUACUACUCGUCUCCACUUGAAUUUAUUUUUAUGUAUGAACAAGUCAAAUUUAAAUGUCUUCAAAAAUUGGAAGAUAAGUGUUUUUUUUUUCCGUUUUGUAAAUGUGGGAGUGGUAAUUGAAAAAUGAAUUUCAUAUAAUUCAAAAUUAUACUGACAUCACGAGCGAGUAGCGGACUAUAUAUACAGUAUGUGUAAUAUUUACAAGUAGUUUUAUGAAUCGUCUAAGAGGCGUAUUACCAUAAUUUGUUCCAAAGAAUAGUUGAAGAAAGGCCAAAAUAAAG